rnacentral:lncRNA from 1 species
GAAUUGUGAUGACAGCAUGACUGUGUGUCCCGGGAGAAGAUCUGCUCCGUGGUCUAAUGGAAUCUAUGAUUUAUCCACUCAUCUGUAUUCAAGCCAAAUCUUCAUGGUGAAAUCCUAAGCAAUCUGGCAGUUGGUGGAAAAUCGGUAUUUUUCAAGUCACUUGAAUUGUUCAAUGGUCACAAGAAACUACUAGUUGCUUAUUUUAGUGAAUUAUGCUGCAUUCACUGGGAUACAGCAAACAUACAGCAAAGUCUACACAAAUCUCUAGCUGAUAAAGAACAGUACAAGCAGCACCUGUGCCAAGACCCCCAGAAGCGUUGUGAAGGAGAUACUAUCAUAUCCUUUAACAGCCCUGGUGAUGUUCGCUGCUCUGCACAGCACACGGUGACUACAUCCCAGAUCCAGAGCUGCGGAACUCUGGGGCCACGUCUCCAGCGCCGCAUUCGGCGGCACACGGAGGCCUGAGAAGGCGGGAGGGGUCAGUCUCUGGCUUCGAGUAGCAGCAAUACCAGGACAACCAUAGCUGAGUCAUGUCAAGAUGAACCAUAUGGCAUUACCAUUUUUUCACAGGUCAGGGCAAAGAAUACUGGUGAAUUCAUGGGUUUCAGCCUAAUUUAAAAUGUGUGUAUUCUUCAAAGUCUUUUAGGAGCUGUGGGGAUUAAAAGGGCCGGCAGGGGCUCAGAGCUCCGUUGGCUGGGUCUGGGGUCCCAGCUCUCAUCAGUGACAUCGCCCCGCAGCCCCAGGGCGGCCGCAGCACCCGAGCUUCCUCGGCUUCACAGGAGGGAAGUGCUCCCUCGGAGACAAAAUAUUUUUCCCAAAAGGAGCAAUUCAUCUACUUGGCUAUA